AUUAUCUAUUUCUUGUAUCAAUUCAAAGAUAAUUUUUACUUUUCUUAUGCCUGUCAGUGACAUAUGAUACGUGGUGGUGGUUAUAUCACAAACUAGCUCAUCAAUCAUCCAUGAUAUUGUAUACAUUUCCUUCAUUCUACUCAUUGUUGGUACUUUGGCUAAUAGGUAAAAGUCAUUUGCUUCUCAAAGACUGGGGAACGUGCCUCUCCGUUCUUGCGGCAAGCUACUAAGGACUAUUGAGCAUAUGCCUCUUUUGCAUUCGUGCUAUGGCGAGAAGAGGAAUCGUCUAUAUGGUGGAACUUGUGUGACAUACUUUGCUGAUCUUCUGUUCUGAAGAAAGUGAGGUUGGUUCACUCAUCAGAUGUGGCUAGCAUACAAAACUAAUGUGUAGCUAGAGAAGAAAAAAAAAAGAUUUUUUUUCUUAGCAAUCCACUAUUUUGUACACUAUGAACCACCUUUUCUGUGCUGUUUUCUUGCUCAUCUAUGAAAAAUGAAAUAAAUCAUUGAGUUUCCUUAUUCAGAUACACUUUAGAAGCCCUGGCAUGCCGUUGUUGCCCAUGGCAAAAGAUGGUACUGAGGCUCUUGGCUCAAUGUGAAAUGAUGCUCCUUUAGCUGUGAUGUCCAACAAAGAGAAACUUACAUUUGAGUAUUUCAAGCAGAAGUUUGCUCAGUUACAAACCCACCGAUUGAUCCGAUCUGAGAGAAGAUAGUCACUUGGAAGGGGACCUUACUGAAAUAGUUCAUGUGGAAGGCUAUGUGGCAGUUUGUUUGUUUUGAAAACUUUAAAUAGACCAUUAAUUGUUUUGUUGGUAUUGUGCUAAUUGUUGUCUUAAUGGAUGUUAAAUGGGUGAAACAUGCACAGGUUCAAUCA